rnacentral:rRNA from 1 species
ACGCUCGACACCUACGGGAAGCAGCAGUGAGGAAUAUUGGUCAAUGGGCGCAGGCCUGAACCAGCCAAGUAGCGUGAAGGAUGACUGCCCUAUGGGUUGUAAACUUCUUUUAUACGGGAAUAAAGUUUUCCACGUGUGGAAUUUUGUAUGUACCAUAUGAAUAAGGAUCGGCUAACUCCGUGCCAGCAGCCGCGGUAAUCUGAGCGGGCUGGCAAGGC